rnacentral:rRNA from 1 species
UGGGGAAUAUUGCACAAUGGAGGGAACUCUGAUGCAGCGACGCCGCGUGAGUGAUGAAGGAAUUCGUUUCGUAAAACUCUGUUCUAUGGGAAGAAAAGGACUGUACCAUAGGAGAAAGCUCCGGCUAAAUAUGUGCCAGCAGCCGCGGUAAUACGUAUGGAGCGAGCGUUGUCCGGAAUUAUUGGGCGUAAAGGGUGCGCAGGCGGCUUUACAAGUUGGAUGUGAAAUAUUGUGGCUCAACCACAAACGUGCAUCCAAAACUGCAAAGCUUGAGUUAAGGAGAGGUAAGUGGAAUUCCUGGUGUAGCGGUGGAAUGCGUAGAUAUCAGGAGGAAUACCGGUGGCGAAGGCGACUUACUGGACUUAAACUGACGCUCAGGCACGAAAGCGUGGGGAGCAAACAGG